AAACACACCUCUAAUAACACAUUGUUGCAUUAUUUUUAGGACAUUACAGGAAGCAACAGAUUUGCAAAACGUUGCAAUGCAAUUAUUUCAAAUGCCCUGCUGGACAAGCAUGGAGAGCUCAAUGUGUACCAAUGCAAAGGGCUUAUCGAUCACCUCAAGAAAUACAUUCUACCAUUUGCUGGAUUAUGGACCGGGAUAAUGCUAGGUGACCUUGGACGACAUGGGACAGGACCACAAUAUGAGCAGUGCUCCAGGAGAUACAAUGCCCUGAGAAACCUUACAAGACAAGUAAUUAUAUAGUUUGUACCAUAACAGUAAAUUGUGUCUGAACUCUUAUUUUGUUGUACUGCUAAAUUAUGUCAGGAAUUCACCUGUCUUUGUAUCCUUUGUCAGAACAUUACACAGGACAAUAAAACUCAAGGAAUAAUGGAAAAGAGCCAGUGGUACUUAAAACAUAUUCGUUUUACUUCUGGCUGGCUCACCAGGCUUGAUGACUUUGUAGCCCAGUAUCAGAUUAGCCACACUGCACUCCUGAAGGAGUAUAAAGACUCCGAAAGGGUUUUCCGAAGGAAGGUUCGAAUAUUUUAAGAAACGUGUCAUUAAAGAUACUUACAGAAAAAGAGUAGAACAAGAAAGAUGGAAAGAAAAGCAACAGAAAAAACGGGGAAGAUAUGUCACACCAAGCAAGCCUUUCCUUUUCAAGACAUCAAACAAGAAGUCUUCAGUGUCUGAGGGUCCCGUUGCUAAACAAAGCUCGCCACCACAGCCAAGGUCAUCCCUGGAGGGGGACCAUGAAGACAUUGUGGAUGAAAAGGCUGUACAUGGGGAGAUCUCAAACAAACCUAAGGCAACAGUAAAGACAACAGCAACCCAACAGCAUCAUCUCACCUCUUUGUGGAAAAGGAGAGACACUGAGUUUGUGGUUUCUGUGAUCCCUACACAAACCAAAGGAACAUCAAUUGUCAUUCGUCACAGUGAGCUGCGUACACUUCAGCCACACCAGUGGCUAACUGGCGAGAUAAUUGAAGCCCUGUUUCAUAUUGCUGCCAAUGAGCUAGAGAUGGGGAAUUCCAUUUACAUUCUUGAUCACUACACAGCAGGUGUGAUUCUGUUUGGGGAAAGACCUCAGCUUGCCCGGCAAAGUUUGUCAAAGAUUAACUUUGACAAUUACCAGGGAAUUGUUUCUUUUGUGAACACUGACAAUGUCCAUUGGAAGUUUCUGUGCAUAAAUGCGGUCAACCACACUGUGUACCUGGCAGAUCCUUCAAAAAGUUCUACAGAGGAAGAUGACUCAAUUCAUGCUGCCAAAAAAUUCAGAUCCAAUGUGACACAUGUGAAAGGUGGUACCAUGAAGAGUGCCUGGGUAUGGCCGAAGAAGGCCUGGAACAGGCCAGAGCUAACAACUGGAACUGCAUAUUGUGCUCUUAAAUCCUUUCAUUAAAACAAAUUUUUUCUUUUUUUUUUUUUUUGGUUGAAGUAUGUAAUUGUUCUUUUAAAUUAUUGUUGAUAGUUGUAAAUUGUAAAUUAUAAAUCAUUUGAUUAAAUUGAGAAUAAACUUUUGUGAAAAAUG
ensembl:lncRNA